AGCUGAUGAAGAAGCAACGAAUAAAGAAUUUGUUAGUUGUGUCGAUGAAGAUGCUGCAGGUGUAGUAGCAUUUGACCACCCACGGGUUGUGAUUGAAGUUGAUGAUGAUCAUGAUGAUGAAGGGGAUGGUAAUGAUGUACCAUUGGCUGAAUUUUGAAUUGCUAAGUUUUUGUGCCAAGUUUUAGUUCAAACAAGUCAUAUUAGUGAAAUAAAGUUGCUGAAAUGGUUUACAUUGUGUCAGAAUAGUUAUUGUGAAAUUUCACUCUUCAAACCACCACUUUGAGUCCAUUUAUUUCGUGCAAAUUGAAUCUUAUAGCACUGGUUUUUAUAAUUGUUUGCAAUUGCUUACAUUAGAUUGCAGUAAAAGCUUAGGAUCUGUAUUAACCAUUAUAAAAACAGUUUAAAAAACAAGAAACAUAAAUUUAUAGUCAAAAUAAAAGGCAAUUAGAUCCUAUGCAAUCUGACCAAAUAAGAAACUAGUAAUUUGCAUAAUUAACUGAGGUUCAUUAAGGCAAACAAUUUUGAAAUUUAGUGCUGGACUUUUAAUUUUUUUGUUUCUGAUUCAAUUUGUUGGCUUUUCUUGUUAUAUUAAUCUGUUUUAGAGCCCUUGGUAGGUAGGUUCUGUUGAGUGUAGUGCUUUCUAAUUGGUUGCUUGUACUUAUUGGAUUCUGGUUUUGUCCAAAUUGCAAAUUCUGAUCAGCUUGUUGUGUCUUUCUGGGUGCAAUUAUUUUGAUCUAUUCUGUUCAGACUUGAGGUUGAAUUUACAUCUGUGUUGGUGCAACUUGAGAACCUACAAGGAUCCAACACUAGGGUAGCCUCUUAUGCGGUGGAGAUUGACUUCCUAUAUGGCUUGUGGUUGCUGCAGAAUACGUGGAAUGAUUAUAGUAAAUCAGCAAUUUCUGAAAUUUGUUUGAGUGAGUUGGUGAGGGCUACAUUUCAAACUCCACCUAGCAGCUGUUAGACUUGUUUGGCUGCUCCUUUUACAGUCUCAUUUUGCGAAAGAAGCCCAAAGAUGCAUACCUCCUUAAUUUUCUAUUUUUGGUCAAUUUUCUUCUAUCAAAGGCCUCUUAAGUCAAGUGAAAGGGAGAAUCCUGGGUGUUCUUCCUUCACUUGCAACUUUUUCUUGUAAUUUGCAUUGUUCAAAACUGAAUUAGUUGAUGAG
rnacentral:lncRNA from 1 species